GUAAGAUUGGGCCCCACAUAUACUGAAACUGGAAUGAAACAGAGAAGAUUAGAUGGCCCUGUGCAAGGAUGACGUGCAAAUUUGUGAAGCAUUCCAUAUUUUU
ensembl:snRNA U6 U6 spliceosomal RNA